UUUACCCUUCUUCCCUUUUCUUUCUUUCUCUUCCUCUCACCCAAACACAUGCCCAUGGAGUUUGCAUAAAAACAAGACUCUUCUUCGUCCAUUCCAUAUUUCGAUCAAGAACCCCUGCCAUUAAUGUUGUCAAAGUCCGAUAACAAACCAGACGGAUCUGAGAUGUUUAACAAACCGGAAGACGAAUCUCUCAUCGGAGCAACGAACACCGCUCCGAAUUUCGUAAAAAACCCGCCCGAUUCCCUCCGACGAAUCGAUCAGAUCUCCAAAAACGGAGUAAACUCCGGCAACGCGGCGAUGGCGGAGGUUUCAUACCCCGGACACGGCCAGGCGCUCGGGGGAUCGA